rnacentral:rRNA from 1 species
AGCAGYCGCGGUAAUWCGUAGGUGGCAGCGUUGUCCGGAAUWWUUGGCGUAAAGGGCUCGCAGGCGGUUUCUUAAGUCUGAUGUGAAAGCCCCCGGCUCAACCGGGGAGGGUCAUUGGRAAMUGGGAAACUUGAGUGCAGAAGAGGAGAGUGGAAUUCCACGUGUAGCGGUGAAAUGCGUAGAGAUGUGGAGGAACACCAGUGGCGAAGGCGACUCUCUGGUCUGUAACUGACGCUGAGGAGCGAAAGCGUGGGGAGCGAACAGGAUUAGAUACCCUGGUAGUCCACGCCGUAAACGAUGAGUGCUAAGUGUUWGGGGGUUUYCGCCCCUUAGUGCUGCAGCUAACGCAUUAAGCACUCCGCCUGGGGAGUACGGUCGCAAGACUGAAACUCAAAGGAAUUGACGGGGGCCCGCACMAGCGGUGGAGCAUGUGGUUUAAUUYGAAGCAACGCGAAGAACCUUACCAGGUCUUGACAUCCUYUGACAACCCUAGAGAUAGGGCUUUCCCUUYGGGGACAGAGUGACAGGUGGUGCAUGGUUGUCGUCAGCUCGUGUCGUGAGAUGUUGGGUUAAGUCCCGCAACGAGCGCAACCCUUGAUYUUWGUUGCCAGCAUUCAGUUGGGCACUYUAAGGUGACUGCCGGUGRCAAACCGGAGGAAGGUGGGGAUGAMGUCAAAUCAUCAUGCCCCUUAUGACCUGGGCUACACACGUGSUACAAUGGACAGAACAAAGGGSUGCAAGACCGCAAGGUUUAGCCAAUCCCAUAAAUYUGUUYUCAGUUCGGAUCGCMGUYUGCAACUCGACUGCGWGAAGCWGGKAAUUKUUUUAGUUUAUCUGCCCGSAUCUYAGWCASSAGGAGA